rnacentral:sRNA from 1 species
AUUGGCUCAAAAUUUGUUUAAUAUUAUAAUAAUACAGCCUCACUGAAUUAAUGUGUUUUCCCCCAAACAGGAUGUAGAAAAUAUAUUUAGUCGCAUAGUAGAUAUACAUGAACUUAGUGUAAAGUUACUGGGCCAUAUAGAAGAUACAGUAGAAAUGACAGAUGAAGGCAGUCCCCAUCCACUAGUAGGAAGCUGCUUUGAAGACUUAGCAGAGGAACUGGCAUUUGAUCCAUAUGAAUCGUAUGCUCGAGAUAUUUUGCGACCUGGUUUUCAUGAUCGUUUCCUUAGUCAGUUAUCAAAGCCUGGGGCAGCACUUUAUUUGCAGGUAUAGUAAUUUUUAAAUCAAGAUGUACAAUGUCUGAAAAGUAAACUUAAAAAAAAAUUAAAUCACUUUUUUUUCUAGUCAAUAGGCGAAGGUUUCAAAGAAGCUGUUCAAUACGUUUUACCCAGGCUGCUUCUGGCCCCUGUUUACCACUGUCUCCAUUACUUUGAACUUUUGAAGCAGUUAGAAGAAAAAAG